UCUGCCCUCAAUUGUAAUUCUGG
rnacentral:piRNA from 1 species